rnacentral:lncRNA from 1 species
UUCUAGCAGAGGAAUUUGUUCUGCUAAGAGCUCUUACUAUAAUCUUUAUUUUCUCUUUACUUAUAGGAAUUUUUGUUUGCUUCUUGGUUUGUUUUAUUUUCCCAGAGGUCAAGAUUCAAGGUGAGCUUUACGUUUUCUUUUGGACAACACAAAUGUACACACUCAGCGUGGACUGGUGCAGACCCUCACAUCCUGAUGCUAUAGGGUGGGAUACUCCGAGCUGAGCUGAAGUCACAUCUUGGUUAUUAUCCUUUGAGGACUAUGGCCCUUCCAGCCAAUCACUCACACAACAACCACCCACUGCCCAACCACCACCACCACCACUGACGAGAUGAUGCCCACAGCGGUGUUUCCAACAACAGCCAUGACUACACCUGACCUCUCAACCACAAGACCACUUCAGAUGAGAGCUGCGCUCUCAGGCAUGGCCUCCACAUGCUUUCUGACAAGCUCACUUCCUGAGGAAGACACGACACUGCUGACCCUUGAGCCUUCCACCGAAAAGCCCAUUCUCCCCGCAGAAUCAGAAAGUGUCCUCCCCAGGACCUCUCAGAGAAGCACAGAGGCGAUUUCAGGAGACACUGCCUUGCUCACAUCCAAGGGCUCUGGCUCAAUUUUUUCUGUGCUGAGGCAUAAGGAACCUGAGCUAUUUGGAACCCCUGAAAAGCCACCUAGUGGUGUCCAAUCUGAUACCAUCUGCCUGGAAGCGUACAAACCAGUCAACCUUCACUUUCCUUCAGGCCAAUAGCAUCAUGCACCCUUGGGUAGCCAUCCUGGGCCUCCUACUCCUCCUGACAGGUAGGUGAACAGGUGGGCUGUGCUUUGGAAGCCCUGAGGAUGGGGGAAUGUAGUGAGUAUGUAGGUAUGGUCAAGCAAGGUAGAUUUCUAGGACAUUGUUUAAAAA